rnacentral:tRNA from 1 species
GGCCUAGUAGCUUAAGAUUUAAAGCACUGGUCUUGUAAACCAAAAACUG